rnacentral:rRNA from 1 species
GAUGAACGCUGGCGGCGUGCUUAACACAUGCAAGUCGAACGGUGAAGCAGGAGCUUGCUCUUGUGGAUCAGCGGCGAACGGGUGAGUAACACGUGAGCAACCUGCCCCUGACUCUGGGAUAAGCGCUGGAAACGGCGUCUAAUACUGGAUAUGUGAUGUGACCGCAUGGUCUGCAUCUGGAAAGAAUUUCGGUUGGGGAUGGGCUCGCGGCCUAUCAGCUUGUUGGUGAGGUAAUGGCUCACCAAGGCGUCGACGGGUAGCCGGCCUGAGAGGGUGACCGGCCACACUGGGACUGAGACACGGCCCAGACUCCUACGGGGGGCAGCAGUGGGGAAUAUUGCACAAUGGGCGGAGGCCUGAUGCAGCAACGCCGCGUGAGGGAUGACGGCCUUCGGGUUGUAAACCUCUUUUAGCAGGUAAGAAGCGAAAGUGACGGUACCUGCAGAAAAAGCACCGGCUAACUACGUGCCAGCCGCCGCAGUAA